rnacentral:rRNA from 1 species
ACAGCAGCCGCCGCGGGAACACGGAGGGUGCAAGCGUUACUCGGAAUUACUGGGCGUAAAGCGUGCGUAGGUGGUGGUUUAAGUCCGUUGUGAAAGCCCUGGGCUCAACCUGGGAAUUGCAGUGGAUACUGGGUCACUAGAGUGUGGUAGAGGAUAGUGGAAUUUCCGGCGUAGCAGUGAAAUGCGUAGAGAUCGGAAGGAACAUCUGUGGCGAAGGCGACUAUCUGGGCCAACACUGACACUGAGGCACGAAAGCGUGGGGAGCAAACAGGAUUAGAUACCCCGGUAGUCCCUGUCUCUUAUAC